GUUUCAAAAUUUCUUUUUGGGUUUAGGGGCCGCCAUCUAGUGGGAAGGGGCCUAAAAUACUUGUCCUUUAGCUGGCGCACUAAGCGGUCUUCAAUUAUCGACACCAAAGGGAGCGCUCAGGCUUGGAGAAAGAUGCUAGCGCUUUCUUCUAGCCACGUUUAACCACCACAGUAAAUGCGCCAUCCCGUCACCACCAAGGCAGCCGAUGGAUCCAUACGCUUGGGGAGCGCAAGGGCUUUGUGCCUGUGCGACCCCACCAUGCCAUUGGACGCUUUCUUUUUCAAGUAGAGGAAGAGAGAAGCGAUAUGACAGCACUGCCUCACCACUUGUGAAGCUUCCCCUCUGCAUAUAUUCUGUUCAGGGACUUGAACCCAGGUCUUCACGUAUAGUAAAGUGCAUUAUACCAGCCCUGUCCUGGACCCUGGAAAGCAGUAAUGAACACAUGGAAGAUCCUUACCCUCUGGGAAGUUCUAUUCUGGUAUAAGAAGACAGAUGAUAAACAAGUUUUUGAGACUUUCUCAAUGGUGUCCUCAGUACAGUAAGUUUGCUCCUUCCUUCUCACCGCCCUCAGCUAUAAGCACUUUCAUUGGUUCACUUUCCCCAGUUUGGACACCCUCCCCACACACACACAUCUCACCACAGCAGCCGCACCAGCACAUUCGUGCACAGACACAACAAACACAAAGAGACCACAUACCUGCCUCAAAACAGCCAGGCUCUGGGACAGGGUCAAGUGAAGGGAGCCAAGUCCUUAUUCAUGCAGAGCACAUCUGAAAGUGGAGACAAAGAAUUAACGUGUGUGUGUGUGUGUGUGUGUGUGUGUGUGUGUGUCUAACAUAAAUUCUAAGAGUGGUAAGUGCUAUAAAAGGAGAGGGGAGCAAAUAGCUGAAAGCAAGUCCCCAGGGGAUGAAUGGGCCAGAGAUGUCCUGGCUAAUCACUGAACUAAAAAUCUAAAGAAAGAAAAAAGAGCCAGCCAUGCGCAGCUAUCUGAAAGGGACAUUCUAGGUAGUGGGAACACCCUGUGCAAAGGCCCUGAAGCAGGAACUGAGCACACUCCAGGCACAGAAUGAAGGCCGAUGUGGCUACAGCAUGUUGAGAGCUGUUGGGCUUAGUGAUGGAUGAUACAGUGUGGUGGGCAGGGAGCAUAUGAAGUGGAACAGGCACAGGGAGUUUGGAUUUUCCUCUUGUCUUUGUUAUUCCUUGCUGUCAGACAGACCUGGCAGUUUGUUAGAAAUGUGAACUCUGGAGCCCCAUCCCUGAUCAACCAAAUCACAACCUGAGUUUUAGCAAUAUCCCCAUAUGAGUCAAAUGUAUGUUGAAGUUUUAGAAUAAUAGCUCCCUAAGUACAUGAGAAAAAAAGCUACAUUCCUUUCAAGGGAAGUGUUUGCUGGUUUGUUUUUUUUUCGGGGGGGGGGGCGAGGUAUAUUUGUCUGUUGUUAUUAUCAGAAUCCAGGCUAACCUGCAUUACAAGCUUAACAAAGGAGGUGUGCUAUCCAGUUGAGCUAUUUUGCUGAUCCAUUUGUAAGGGAAAUGUUUUGAAAGAUCCUUCUCCCAAAACUAAAAGGGGCCUGAGGUGGGAGGAGGGUGGUGAUAUACCUUGUUGAUCUCAAGGAACUAAGUUCAAGUCCUUCAUUCCCACCUGCAGGAGGGAAGCUUCAUGAGCAGUGAUGCAGUGCUGCAGGUGUCUCUCUGUCUCUCUCCUCUAUCUCCCCAUCUCCUCUCAAUUUCUCUCUGUCCUAUCAAAUAAAAGAAAGGAAAAGGGGGGAAAUGGCCCUGGGUGGUGGCACAGUGGAUCCCCUAUACUGCAUGUCAGAGAGUGCUACUCUAGCCUCCUCUCUCUCUCUCUCUCCCUCUCUCUCUCUGUCUCUCUCUCUGUCUCUCUCUCUUUGUCUCUCUCUCAUCAAAUAAAUAAAAUGAAUCUUUAAAAAAUAUAUAAAUAAGAGGCUCCUUUCAAGGAAAGAGCAAUAGAGGGCACAUCCUUUUACGGUUUAUGAUAGAUGACUUUUCUUUGGUUUACAAAGUAAACCCUUGUCUUCCCAAGUCCAGUCCUUGUUGCUUCCUAGCCAGAAUGCCCAUAGGUUCCCCAUUAACUUCAGAGUUCUGUACGAAUUCCUGAGUAAGGCCAGCAAGGUCCUUCAGACCUGGAUUCUGCUGUACUCUUUCAGCUCAUCUACAACCCAAGAGUUUUUCAAGUUCAUGUCCUAGUUUAGACAUCUGAUAAAGGCGUGGGGGUAA